UACGUAGGGUGCAAGCGUUGUCCGGAAUUAUUGGGCGUAAAGAGCUCGUAGGCGGUCUGUCGCGUCGGCUGUGAAAUCCCGAGGCUCAACCUCGGGUCUGCAGUCGAUACGGGCAAACUGGAGUGUUGCAGGGGAGACUGGAAUUCCUGGUGUAGCGGUGAAAUGCGCAGAUAUCAGGAGGAACACCGGUGGCGAAGGCGGCUUGCUGGGCCAGUUCUGACGCUGAGGAGCGAAAGCGUGGGGAGCGAACAGG
rnacentral:rRNA from 1 species